GUGAGCCUCAGAUUUUCACUUUAUCCCAUAUAGCAUUUUCUAUAUUAGCGGGUUAGGGUCAGGUGAGCCUCAGAUUUUCACUUUAUCCCAUAUAGCAUUUUCUAUAUUAGCGGGUUAGGGUCAGGUGAGCCUCAGAUUUUCACUUUAUCCCAUAUAGCAUUUUCUAUAUUAGCGGGUUAGGGUCAGGUGAGCCUCAGAUUUUCACUUUAUCCCAUAUAGCAUUUUCUAUAUUAGCGGGUUAGGGUCAGGUGAGCCUCAGAUUUUCACUUUAUCCCAUAUAGCAUUUUCUAUAUUAGCGGGUUAGGGUCAGGUGAGCCUCAGAUUUUCACUUUAUCCCAUAUAGCAUUUUCUAUAUUAGCGGGUUAGGGUCAGGUGAGCCUCAGAUUUUCACUUUAUCCCAUAUAGCAUUUUCUAUAUUAGCGGGUUAGGGUCAGGUGAGCCUCAGAUUUUCACUUUAUCCCAUAUAGCAUUUUCUAUAUUAGCGGGUCAGGGUUAGGGUCAGGUGAACCUCAGAUUGUCACUUUUUCCCAUAUAGUCGGGCAGAUGCGGAUGAGUUAUUAGCAAUUGCAGGCGACUGUGGGUGAACAAACAUCUGAGCCGCAAACACUAACGCGACCAUUGUAACAUCUUCAGACUCCUUACCAAUCUCAUAAAGAUGGUAGACUGCUGAUAGUUUACAGUUUGAAUUACCAAAGGUCAUAGUAGUGUCCAUCUUGCAGUAAACCAUGUACAACUUGAAGUAGCCUCUGCCGAGUCCUCAACCACCGGAUGUUCCCAUUUUCAGGGGAAAUUAAAGAGAGCCUG